rnacentral:lncRNA from 1 species
CAUCUAAAUGAGAAGCAGGCUUUGCUUCUUUCUCAUCUUUGCCUUGAGGGUCCUUUUUCUUGGGCAGGGUGGAAGAGAGGACAAGGGAGGGGAGGGGGAUACGUUAGAUGUUUGCCGGGCAUCUUAGCACGGCUUGUGGGAGCAGCGAGGGGGUUUUCCUGUGAACUCAGGGAAGGGGGGGGGCUCUGUGUGUGGCUUCUGCAGGUGGAAACAGAGGCAGUGGAGCUUGGAGAUCAUCGGAGCAGGGGAGUGAACCCUGAUGCCUCGGAGAUCCUACAUAUCAACAGGAAGAAGACUCUGCUGAUGUGAGCCUCCUUGAGAAGGAAGCCGCCUUGAGGGCUGCUUGCCAGGGGCAGGCCUCUGCAGCUUCAGUCUGGACGAGUGGUUAAAAAAAAUGGCACACCCUCUCCAUUCCCACAUCUGCCUUUAUUAAAACAACAACUCUGAAAGCAAA